rnacentral:rRNA from 1 species
GAAACUCAAAGGAAUUGACGGGGACCCGCACAAGCGGUGGAGCAUGUGGUUUAAUUCGAAGCAACGCGAAGAACCUUACCAAAUCUUGACAUCCUUUGACAACUCUAGAGAUAGAGCUUUCCCCUUCGGGGGACAAAGUGACAGGUGGUGCAUGGUUGUCGUCAGCUCGUGUCGUGAGAUGUUGGGUUAAGUCCCGCAACGAGCGCAACCCUUAAGCUUAGUUGCCAUCAUUAAGUUGGGCACUCUAAGUUGACUGCCGGUGACAAACCGGAGGAAGGUGGGGAUGACGUCAAAUCAUCAUGCCCCUUAUGAUUUGGGCUACACACGUGCUACAAUGGACAAUACAAAGGGCAGCGAAACCGUGAGGUCAAGCAAAUCCCAUAAAGUUGUUCUCAGUUCGGAUUGUAGUCUGCAACUCGACUACAUGAAGCUGGAAUCGCUAGUAAUCGUAGAUCAGCAUGCUACGGUGAAUACGUUCCCGGGUCUUGUACACACCGCCCGUCACACCACGAGAGUUUGUAACACCCGAAGCCGGUGGAGUAACCUUUUAGGAGCUAGCCGUCGAAGGUGGGACAAAUGAUUGGGGUGAAGUCGUAACAAGGUAGCCGUAUCGGAAGGUGCGGCUG